AUUGUAGCUCAGUUGGUAAGGUGUGAAAGCGUUAGCUUUUACACCCGAAGAGAGCAGAGGACUGAAAAUCCUUGUGUCGUUGGUUCAAUUCCAACCGAUGCCA
rnacentral:tRNA from 1 species